rnacentral:rRNA from 1 species
UUUCCGCCCCUUUAGUGCUGCAGUAAACGCAUUAAGCACUCCGCCUGGGGAGUACGGCCGCAAGGCUGAAACUCAAAGGAAUUGACGGGGGCCCGCACAAGCGGAGGAACAUGUGGUUUAAUUCGAUGAUACGCGAGGAACCUUACCCGGGCUUGAAAUGCAUUCGACGGGGUUGGAAACAGCCUUUCCCUUCGGGGCGGAUGCGUAGGUGCUGCAUGGUUGUCGUCAGCUCGUGCCGUGAGGUGUCGGCUUAAGUGCCAUAACGAGCGCAACCCCUGUCGUCAGUUACCAUCGGUAUAAGCCGGGGACUCUGGCGAGACUGCCAUCGUAAGAUGCGAGGAAGGUGGGGAUGACGUCAAAUCAGCACGGCCCUUACGUCCGGGGCGACACACGUGUUACAAUGGGUGGUACAAAGGGCAGCUACAUGGCGACAUGGUGCCAAUCCCCAAAACCACUCUCAGUUCGGAUCGGAGUCUGCAACUCGACUCCGUGAAGCUGGAUUCGCUAGUAAUCGCGCAUCAGCCACGGCGCGGUGAAUACGUUCCCGGGCCUUGUACACACCGCCCGUCAAGCCAUGGAAGCUGGGGGUGCCUGAAGUCCGUAACCGU